AUUGAACGCUGGCGGCAAGCCUAACACAUGCAAGUCGAACGAGUGGCGGACGGGUGAGUAAUGUCUGGGAAACUGCCUGAAGGAGGGGGAUAACUACUGGAAACGGUAGCUAAUACCGCAUACCAUCGGAUGUGCCCAGAUGGGAUUAGCUAGUAGGUGGGGUAAAGGCUCACCUAGGCGACGAUCCCUAGCUGGUCUGAGAGGAUGACCACCCCCACUGGAACUGAGACGCGGUCCAGACUCCUACGGGAGGCAGCAGUGGGGAAUAUUGCACAAUUGGCGCAAGCCUUAUACAGCCAUGCCGCGUGUAUGAAGAGGUCCUUCGGGUUGUAAAGUACUUUCAGCGGUGAGGCGUUACCCGCAGAAGAAGCCCCGGCUAACUCCGUGCCAGCAGCCGCGGUAAUAC
rnacentral:rRNA from 1 species